rnacentral:rRNA from 1 species
CCUACGGGUGACAGCAGUGGGGGAUAUUGCACAAUGGGGGAAACCCUGAUGCAGCGACGCCGCGUGUGGGAAGACGGUCCUCUGGAUUGUAAACCACUGUCCCCAGGGACGAAGAUGACGGUACCUGGGGAGGAAGCUCCGGCUAACUACGUCCCAGCAGCCGCGGUAAUACGUAGGGAGCGAGCGUUGUCCGGAAUUACUGGGUGAAAGGGGAGCGUAGGCGGGACUGCAAGUUGGGUGUAAAAUCUACCGGCUCAACCGGUAGCCGCACUCAAAACUGCAGUUCUUGAGUGAAGUAGAGGCAGGCGGAAUUCCUAGUGUAGCGGUGAAAUGCGUAGAUAUUAGGAGGAACACCAGUGGCGAAGGCGGCCUGCUGGGCUUUUACUGACGCUGAGGCUCGAAAGUGUGGGGAGCAAACAGGAUUAGAUACCCCAGUAGUC